GUUUCAUAUAUUCAGGGGUAUACU
rnacentral:misc_RNA from 1 species